GCGGGUGUAGCUCAGUUGGUAGAGCACCAGCCUUCCAAGCUGGGGGUCGAGAGUUCGAACCUCUUCGCCCGCUCCA
rnacentral:tRNA from 7 species